rnacentral:rRNA from 1 species
AGCGGCGGACGGGUGAGUAACGCGUGGGUAACCUGCCCUGUACACACGGAUAACAUACCGAAAGGUAUGCUAAUACGAGAUAAUAUGCUUUUAUCGCAUGGUAGAAGUAUCAAAGCUCUGGCGGUACAGGAUGGACCCGCGUCUGAUUAGCUAGUUGGUAAGGUAACGGCUUACCAAGGCGACGAUCAGUAGCCGACCUGAGAGGGUGAUCGGCCACAUUGGAACUGAGACACGGUCCAAACUCCUACGGGAGGCAGCAGUGGGGAAUAUUGCACAAUGGGCGAAAGCCUGAUGCAGCAACGCCGCGUGAGCGAUGAAGGCCUUCGGGUCGUAAAGCUCUGUCCUCAAGGAAGAUAAUGACGGUACUUGAGGAGGAAGCCCCGGCUAACUACGUGCCAGCAGCCGCGGUAAUACGUAGGGGGCUAGCGUUAUCCGGAAUUACUGGGCGUAAAGGGUGCGUAGGUGGUUUCUUAAGUCAGAGGUGAAAGGCUACGGCUCAAUCGUAGUAAGCCUUUGAAACUGGGAAACUUGAGUGCAGGAGAGGAGAGUGGAAUUCCUAGUGUAGCGGUGAAAUGCGUAGAUAUUAGGAGGAACACCAGUUGCGAAGGCGGCUCUCUGGACUGUAACUGACACUGAGGCACGAAAGCGUGGGGAGCAAACAGGAUUAGAUACCCUGGUAGUCCACGCCGUAAACGAUGAGUACUAGCUGU